rnacentral:rRNA from 1 species
UACGGAGGGUGCGAGCGUUAAUCGGAAUUACUGGGCGUAAAGGGUGCGUAGGUUGUUUUGUAAGUUAUCUGUGAAAUCCCCGGGCUCAACCUGGGCAGGUCAGAUAAGACUGCGGAACUCGAGUAUGGGAGAGGGUAGUGGAAUUUCCGGUGUAGCGGUGAAAUGCGUAGAGAUCGGAAGGAACACCAGUGGCGAAGGCGGCUACCUGGCCUAAUACUGACACUGAGGCACGAAAGCGUGGGGAGCAAAC